AUCCCCUGAUCAUGGUCCCGAAUACGUUUGUCGCGAACACGCUUUAAUUAAAUGGCCGCCGCCAUGCUUCGAUAUGUGGAUGGGGCAAUGCCCGGCAAGACUUUGAAACGCAGAGCGUCAACGCCGGAGCGAUUGGCAAAAAAGCAUGCCAGUAGUAAAAAAUACGAGGAAAACCGGCCAUCUCGUAAUGUGAACGGGAAGUGGCAAGACGGCAGACCGUGGCUUGUCCUUGACUUUGCCAAUAACAGUAUGACCUGUAAAACAUGCAUCGAGCAGACGGAUAAGCAUGUCCAAUGAAACAUUGAACAACCUUCUGCUGGUCAAACUCCAGAGUCCGUGCAUCCCAGAAUUUAAUCCUAAGGAUUCCAUUGAUGACUGGCUUGUGAGUUUGUUUUGCCAAUGCUUUAAAUACUUUUCAAAUUGUUGCCUUUUCUGGUUAGUUACAAAUGAAUUAUUUCAGUAGAUCUAGAUGAUCUUCAAUUCUGACUGAUGUGCUUGAAAUCCUAUGUCUAAUUUUGUAGCUCUCAUCUUUGAUGCCAAGGUGGCCACACUACCGAAGAUCUACUGGUAAAAGAGAGAAACGGACUGACCUGGAAAAUGUAACCAAUGCAGCUGGUACAGCCCACAACAACAUUGAUGAGAUUGGUAAUCCUACUCACCUACAGGAUGGGGCCCAGAUUGAGAGAGAAGAUGAUUUAGAGACUGAAGAGAUUGAGAGAAGUUGUUAAUAGUUUUGCAACGAUCAUGUGUGUCUUUUGGAUCCUUUGUCAUAAUUAAGAGAUUGUUUAAGAGAUCAAAUAAAAGUUAUGAUGAAAUGACUGUUGAUAUUUUGUAUUUUGUUGACAACAAUUCCAGACAUUUUGUCAUACAAUGUAGGUGUGUUAAUUCUUCUACAAAGAAGCAAUUUUAUCAUCUACUCUAGAAUUGUAAAGCAUAUAAUGCAUAUCUUCCGCAGACUGAAUGUCCUGUAAUUUCUUAAAGUUUAUCAGACCGAAAUGUCCUGUGAAAGUUGAUUCGGUCUGGUAAAUAUUCAGAGUUCACCAGACCGAAUGUCCUGUGAAAAAAAGUAAUAUUUCGCAUGGU